rnacentral:rRNA from 1 species
GACGAACGCUGGCGGCGUGCUUAACGCAUGCAAGUCGAACGGUAAGGCCCUUCGGGGUACACGAGUGGCGAACGGGUGAGUAACACGUGGGUGAUCUGCCCUGCACUUCGGGAUAAGCCUGGGAAACUGGGUCUAAUACCGGAUAGGACUCCGGACUGCAUGGUCUGGGGUGGAAAGCUUUUGCGGUGUGGGAUGGGCCCGCGGCCUAUCAGCUUGUUGGUGGGGUGAUGGCCUACCCAGGCGACGAUGGGUAGCCGGCCUGAGAGGGUGACCGGCCACACUGGGACUGAGCUACGGCCCAGACUCCUACGGGAGGCAGCAGUGGGGAAUAUUGCACAAUGGGCGCAAGCCUGAUGCGGCGACGCCGCGUGAGGGAUGACGGCCUUCGGGUUGUAAACCUCUUUCAGCAUCGACGAAGCGAAAGUGACGGUAGGUGCAGAAGAAGGACCGGCCAACUACGUGCCAGCCGCCGCGGUAA